rnacentral:rRNA from 1 species
AGAGUUUGAUCAUGGCUCAGAAUUAACGCUGGCGGCAUGCGUAUCACAUGCAAGUCGAGCGAGAAACCCCGGUUCGCCGGGGGAGUACAGCGGCGCACGGGUGAGUAACGCGUGGGUAAUCUACCUCGGUCUGGGGGAUAACACACCGAAAGGUGUGCUAAUACCGCAUAUUCCGGCGGGGCUGUGGUCCUGUCGGUAAAGGUGGCCUCUUCCUGAAAGCUGCCGGGCCGGGAUGAGCCCGCGUCCCAUUAGCUAGUUGGUAGGGUAACGGCCUACCAAGGCGACGAUGGGUAGCUGGUCUGAGAGGACGGCCAGCCACACUGGAACUGGAACACGGUCCAGACUCCUACGGGAGGCAGCAGUGAGGAAUAUUGCGCAAUGGGGGAAACCCUGACGCAGCGAUGCCGCGUGGGUGACGAAGGCCCUCGGUCGUAAAGCCCUGUCAGGCGGGAAGAAUAGGCUUGAAGUGAACAGC